rnacentral:lncRNA from 1 species
UUUGAACAUGGGCAAUCAUUUCCUGGAGAUGGUAAUGGUAAUUUUUCUGUUGGCAGGCAGAAUUGGAAAAUAAAAUUUAAGGAUGCUACCUCUGCUGCUCAAGCAACAGCUGACUUUGCAGAACAUGCAACCUAGCUGCCAGAGCUGUUGUAGAACUUUCAAGGCAAUAUUGUGUUGAUGAUGGUGGUUCAUGCCACUUAGGCUUCAAGGAUGAAAGGUUGGAACAUAGGCAAUUAUUUCCUGGAGAUGGUAAUGGUAAUUGUUUUGUUGGCAGGCAGAAUUGGAACAUGAAAUUUAAGUAUGCUACCUCUACUGCUCAUGCUGCAGCUGAGUUUGUAGAACAUGCAAGCCUGACUGCCAGAGCUGUUGUAGAACUUUCAAGAAAAUAUUGUGUUGUUGAUGGUGGCUCAUGCCACUUAGGUUGCAAGCAUGAAAGGUUGGAGCACGGGCAAUCAUUUCCUGGAGAUGGUAAUGGUAAUUUUUCUGUUGGCAGGCAGAAUUGGAACAUAAAAUUUAAGGAUGUUACCUCUGCUGCUCAAGCAUCUGCUGAGUUUGCAGAACAUGCAAGCCAAGCUG